rnacentral:lncRNA from 10 species
UUUUUUUUUGAGACAGAGUUUUGCUCUUAUUACCCAGGCUGGAGUGCAAUGGUGUGAUCUCGGCUCACCACAACCUCCGCCUCCCGGGUUCAAACGAUUCUCCUGCCUCAGCCUCCCGAGUAGCUGGGAUUAUAGGCAUGCGCCACCACGCCUGGCUAAUUUUGUAUUUUUUAAGUAGAGACGGGGUUUCUCCAUGUUGUUCAGGCUGGUCUCGAUCUCCCGACCUCAGGUGUUCCUCCCACCUCGGCCUCCCAAAGUGUUGGGAUUACAGGAAAGUUGCAAAGAGAGUUUCCUC